rnacentral:rRNA from 1 species
GGGAUUGCCUCAGUAACGGCGAGUGAAGCGGCAACAGCUCAAAUUUGAAAUCUGGCCCUUUCGGGGUCCGAGUUGUAAUUUGUAGAGAGUGUUUCGGGCGAGACCACGGUCUAAGUCCAUUGGAACAUGGCGUCAUAGAGGGUGAGAAUCCCGUCUGCGACCGUGGCUCGAGCCCAUGUGAAGCCUCUUCGACGAGUCGAGUUGUUUGGGAAUGCAGCUCAAAAUGGGUGGUAAAUUUCAUCUAAAGCUAAAUACUGGCUGGAGACCGAUAGCGCACAAGUAGAGUGAUCGAAAGAUGAAAAGCACUUUGGAAAGAGAGUUAAACAGUACGUGAAAUUGUUGAAAGGGAAGCGCUUGCAACCAGACCUGUCCGUAGGUGAUCAGCCGCUGUUCUCAGCGGUGCACUCGCUCUGCGAUCAGGCUAGCAUCGGUUUCGGCGACCGGAUAAAGGCCUUGGGAAUGUAGCUUCCUUUCGGGGGAGUCUUAUAGCCUUCGGUGCAAUGCGGCCAGCCGGGACCGAGGACCGCGCUUCGGCUAGGAUGCUGGCGUAAUGGUUGUAAGCGACCCGUCUUGAAACACGGACCAAGGAGUCUAACAUCUAUGCGAGUGUUUGGGUGUCAAGCCCAUGCGCGGAAUGAAAGUGAACGGAGGUGAGAACCCUUAAGGGCGCAUCAUCGACCGAUCCAGAUGUCUUCGGAUGGAUUUGAGUAUGAGCAUAGCUGUUGGGACCCGAAAGAUGGUGAACUAUGCCUGAAUAGGGUGAAGCCAGAGGAAACUCUGGUGGAGGCUCGCAGCGGUUCUGACGUGCAAAUCGAUCGUCAAAUUUGGGUAUAGGGGCGAAAGACUAAUC